UUUUUUUUUUCUGAUUGCCCUCAUCAUUCCCUCUCACGCCCUUUUCCUUCCUUCCCGCCCUUUCCCUUCCCGACAUCCCUCCCUCGCCCUUUUCCUUCCCGCCAGCACCUCUCCUGUGCUUUUUCUUCCCGACAUCUCACUCCUCCUCCUUUGUUCCUUUCCACUCGUUCUGUUGCCUCGCUCAUUCUAUUAAACUCCUCCCCUACUUGUUGAUUAUGAAUGUCCCAAACUUGUCCUCCAUCGUCCUCUGAUUAGCCUUCCCUCACCUUCAUCUUCUUCAAAAUUACCAGAAUCUAUAUCACCCGCUAAUCUAUCCUCAUCCUUCUCUUCCAUCACCCUGUGCAUUUCCUUCCCUUUCACAUUCCCAUUAGACGAACCACUACCACCAAUUACUACUGAUUGACUGCUCAACCCUACUUCAUGACCAAUGAAAAUGUGUAACACAUAAUUUGACUCUACAUCGGGAUGGCUAACAUCCACUGGUUGUGACCCAGGUGGAUCAAUCUCAUUAUAAUUAGACGACUGGCUACCUUGGUCGGGUUCAUACACCCCACCGCCAUCCAACAAACUCUCCUACUUCCAUCAAGAUAUUUAUCAGACCAUAUGUAUUUCUAACAAGAUAUGCAUGAAUAAUAAGACAAGCGCGAACAUAUACAUAUACCUAUGAUACAUCAAAGUGUCAUAAAAUUGGUCAAUGGAGGGCGUAAUUUUGUUUAGUUUGCGUCUUUAUGUGGUCUAGGUGGAGCUCCCAUAUUGCCUAAGUUUUGUACAAGGAAAUAUCUCGAGAAUAAAAAUUAACAUGACUUUCCUUUUAAAAUAUUAUUUAAGCCUAAUGUACAAUAACAUCAUAGUUGAAUAUUCAAUUAUUGUAUUUGAAUAUUUAAAUGUACAAUUAUAUUUUUAAUUUGGCUAAAAAUAAUAGAAAUAUACCAUUUAAGACCAUGUUUAGGUGCAUUUAUUUAGUUAUAAAGUAGUAAAAAAUGUUCAGCUCGGUGCAGAUGUGUGGCGUCGCGAGUUCGGUUGCGGACGAUGAGCACGCGAGACGACGCCGGCGUCGGAAGGUGCGGGCGAAUAUAAAGGAUGGCGCGAUGGUCGACUAGGAUAGGGAGUCAUACUAGUCCGACGCCAAAUCGCACUCGGGGCGCAGACACCCCCGACCGAAACGGGCCAACCCACUUCGUACUGUACCGGUAUGCGGUUUCUAGUUUUUUUGUGGCCGGUUCUUUUGUGUUUUUUCCUGUCUCUUUUUUGCUGGUUUUUGUUAUUUUUUUCUUUCAAGUUUUGUCUUCAUUUUUCCUUCAUUAUUCAUUUUUAUUUUCAUGAAAAUUUCUUUUCCAAAUUCUUGAUUUAUUUUAAAUUCCCAAAUUUUGUCCAAAUUUGUGAAAAAAACAAAUAUCUUUUUCCAAAUUUGAAUGUUUUCAAAUUCAUGAAUAUUUUCCCAAAUUCACAAAAAAAAUCAAAUUCAUGAUUUUUUUCAAAUUUCAAAGUUUUUCCAAAUUCACAGUUUUCCCUAAAUUUCCUGAACUUUUCAAAUUUGUUAACUUUUUAAAAACCCAUGAAUAUUUUUUUUGAAUGCUGCAAUUUUUAAAAUCACAUGAACUUAAAAAAAAGUCAAUGGUCAAGGGUCUAAGUCAAUGGCCAAUCUACCAAAAGGUGGACCAGUCAAACCAUCAACCCGCUCAGCCACUCGCUCACCCGUGCGUGUGGUGACCACAGGUUUGUUUGGCCAGCCCACAACGCUCUCUUGCGCGAGCACCGUUUGCUUAAUUGGCGCACAAGCGCUACGAAAGAGGUCUCUAGUUCGAAUGUGUUUGUCAACUUCAUUCGCGGCAAGGCCGAAGAGCCAAUUUUCGUCCGCACCUUGGUCAAAGAGGACGUUUCCGUCCACAUAUGGGCCAAAGACAGGCUCUUUGUAGCGGCUCCGGACGAAAAUCAUCUCUUCAGUCAUUGUUAGAUUGAAGAGGGCUUCUAGGCCCAUCUCUUCGCGUAAACUGUCCAACGAAGUUGCAUGCCAUUCUUAGGGCGAACAAGAGUUGCUCUUCCUUUCUGUUGAGGAAGAAGUCUUUUUUUCGAUUGCCCUUCAUCAUUCCCUCUCACGUCCUUUUCCUUCCCACCAUCCAUCUCCCGCUCUUUCCCUCCUCGUCAUCCCUCUUCUGCCCAUUCCCUUCCAGCCGUCACCUCUCACACGCUUUUUCUUCCCGACAUCUCACUCAUCCUCCCAUGUUCCUUCCCACCCUCUUGCCUCGCUCAUUCUAUUAACCCCCCCGGCUUGCUGUCUCUGAACGUCCCAAACUUAUCAACCAUUGUCCUCAUCUUAGCCUUCACAUAAUGAAUUUCAUAGUUAUAUCUUGCUUUCACCGCAUUUUGGUGUGCUUCGCUUCCAUGUCUUUCUUCUCCACUAUCUCAUUUAUACAUGAGUUGUGUUAUGAGAGUUGAAUUUAGGUUUGGAUGAUCAACUAGAAGGUUUUUCCUCACAUAAUUAUAUAGAACAAUAUUAGUGACAACCCAGUGCAUAUUUCACUUGGGCAUGUGGUCGUGCACCUUGUCGAGAACCAUUUUAAGCACAUUUCAAAGUUAUAAGUUUGUUUGACUUGAUAUGUGUGUGUGAAAACCCUAUGCACCGACAUAGCCCACUCCACUAUGUCACUUCAUUCUUCAGUUGUUUCUUUAUGGCAUAAAUAGCGCCUAUUUGGACUUGGUUCUAAUGAUAUUCCCAUGCAGACUCAUGGACUUCCAUCGAUUCAUGGUCAGGCCGGUUGCGGUUGAGAGGCCCUGAUUCCAUGCAUAAGGAAUUGACACCUCCUCCUCGUCCUCAUCCUCACUUUUUUUUAGAACGAAGACGCUAGGAGCGUCCGGUUUUAACUGAAUAAAGCUCACAACAGACAGCGUACACACGAAUAAAGUCUUACAACGCAACAGAAACCCUCAAAAGAUCAAGCGAGGUGAGGGGAGCAAGUUUUGGAUUACAAGCCGAAGACGGCUAGCACAGAGCACGCAGGCUCGCAACGAAGGUGCCAAAAGGUGCCUCACAUCCCUACGGGGGCGGCGUAGGAGCUCUCGCCAGAGCGUAGACCUGACGAAGACGGGCAAGAGUGAGCUGCAGGAGAUCAACGUCUUGGUGUCUUCCCAAUGGCGCCCAGUCCUCAUCCUCACUCACCUUCAUCUUCUUAAAAAUUAUCAGAAUCUAGAUCAUCCGCCAAUCCAUUCUCAUCCUUCUCUUCCAUCAUCCUUUGCAUUUUCUCCCCUUCCCCGUCCCCAUUAGCCAAACCACUACCAACAAUUACCGCUGACUGACUGCUCAACCCUGUUUCACGACAAACGGCGAUGCGUGACAUAUAAUUCUACUAUUCAUCGGUUGUGACCCAGGUGGAUGAAUCUCAUUAGCCGACUGACUACCCUGGUCGGGUUCAUGCACCCGGCCGCCUUCCAAUAAAUUCUCCUCCUUCGGCACAGGGAUUUUUUUUCGAAGAAAAGGGGCUCACACCCCCGGUUCCAUUCCAUUGGAAGAAACCAGAACCAGCCAAUGUUCAAGUUACAACAAAAGAAGAGGGGGGAGAGCGUCUACUGUCUUCUCCACCAAAAUUAAAAGGAAACUAAACUCGUUUUUCAGCUUACAACCCCACUUGGAGUAGACUACCACUUCCUUACAAGGCAAUAGACCAGUCAUAGGCCCGAGAAGACCACCUGGAUGGAGUCCGCCUCUUCAGGGUGUUUCAUCUAGUAGGCCAGCGUCGUACGUCCUCCAUGCGUUGCGCUCCCAGUCGCCUCCCUCCAUGACAGAUGUCCCAGCCAGCUCUUGCAGUUGUUCAGUCCGGCUCCAGGGCAAACGGUGCUUUCAGACUCGCCCACAGCCAAUCCUGAAAGGCCCUUACUGCGCCCGAUUGCAGUUCUGGAAAUGGUUUUGUCCAAUCCCUCAGAUACCUGGACACCAUCCCCAUCACCUGCUUCAUUGACAGCCAAGAGAUCCUAUUAAAGACAAUAGCAUUUCUAAAGUUCCACAAUCCCCACAGGAUAGCAGAGGUAACUACAUUAAGAAGCAUAUGUUUUUUCUUGCACAGCCACAAUUUUGCAAGCGACUCAAAGUCCACUAUUCGUACAUUGAACAAGUUUUCAAUGUCGUUCCAGAAUUUUCUGGCAACUAUACAUUCAAAAAAGAGGUGGUAAACCGAUUCAAUCUCUUUGCAAUGCACACAUUCCAAAGGUUUAGCCAUCCCUCUUUUUCUCAAAUUAUCACAAGUCAUAAUUUUGUUCUGAGAAAAAAGCCACAAAAAACCUUGUACUUUCGGAGGGAUUCUAACACUCCAAACAGCAGGCAGGAAGAUAGGCUGCACCCCCCUGAAAUUGACAAUAGCAUACAGGGAUUUAGAGGAAUAAAUCCCCUUAGACUCAUAUUGCCAGAUCAGGGAAUCCUCCUCCCCACUGAAAGGAGUCAAUCUCACAAUAUUAACCAAGUCCAGCCAUUGGACCAUUAAUUCCUCAGAAAAGGUUCUUCUAAAAGUACACUUAAGGUCGUUACCAUCCCACAGUUCAGCCACCGUUCUGUUCUUUUCCUGGACAAGAUAAUACAAGUCCCAGAACUGCGUAGCUAAAGGGGCGUUCCCAUGCCAGAUAUCCUCCCAAAACCUCACUUUAUUCCCAUUUCCCACCUGCCAUUUAUACCCCAACUUCACAGCCUGCAAAGCCCACAUAAAGCUUUUCCAGAACUGGGAGGGAUGGGUAUCUUGACAGCAAAGGAUAUUGGGGUUCCUAGUAUUGUAUUUACUAUCCACUACCUUCCUCCAUAGCGAGCCUUCCCCAGCUAAGUACCUUUUAACCCACGACCCUAUUAGACACACAUUCAUAUCCUAGAGAUUUAGAACCCCCAAGCCCCCAUAUUCUUUUCUCAUACAUAUAGAAGGCCAGUUGGCCAAAUGAAUCUUAUGAGCUCCUUCGCUAUCACUCCAAAGGCACUUUGCCAUAUGUGAGUUAAUCAGAUUAAUGGCCCAUCCAGGGAACUUGAAAAAAGACAAUAGGUAUAGGGGAAUACUGGCCAAGCAAGAUCUGAUCAGUGUUAUCUUGCCCAGAAAUGACAAUAGUUUUCCCCUCCACCCAGCAAUCCUAGCAAGAAUUUUGUCAAUCAAAGCUUGUAAGUCUUCUCUACUCAACUUAUCAAAGUGCAAAGGAAUUCCCAAAUAUUUAAUUGGGAAGCAUCCAUUAACACACUGGAAGAUAUCCAAAAACACCCCCAAACCCCCACUUUCCAUAUUUAUGGGGAUCAGAGCACUCUUAUGAUAAUUAAUUCUCAUCCGAGAGAUUUUUUCAAAGCAAACUAAAACCCAUUUGAGAUUAAGGGCAACUCUACUAUCAUUUUCCAGGAAAAGAAGUGUAUCAUCUGCAUACUGCAGACACAUCACUCCUCCUCUAACUAAUUCCGGGCACAACCCUCUAACCAAGCCAGCCCGAGCACCUUUAUCUAUCAUUCUAGCAAAAGUGUCUACCACCAGAUUGAAAAGCAGGGGGGCAACAGGACCCCCCUGCCUCAAGCCUUUACCAGUGAUGUUGAGGAUAUAACCAUUAGAGUCACCCGCCCAGGAGGGGCCGGGUUACGUUAUAAUGAUCUUCACGUGAAGCCCAGUACCAGGCUAGAGGAUGGCGGAUCAAUAGUGGGCUUAAGACCCGGAGGCGGCUUAAGGCCCGUAGUGAUAAACCGCCGUUAUGACAAGACUUGUAAUGUAAGGCAAGAGUAGUUAAGAGUCCGAGCCGGAUACUGUUAUAAGCCGGCCGGGACUCUGAGAGCCGCGGGGGCGUCAACCUCUCUAUAUAAAGGGACGAUCCGGCGGCGGUUCAGGACGAGAGACAACAGAUCGAGAGCCGGGCAUAGCGAUUAAGCUCCCUGGUCAUCGAAACCCUAAGUAAUACCACCUCAACUGGACGUAGGCUGUUACCUUCACCGUAAGGGGCCGAACCAGUAUAACCCUCGUGUUCCUUGUCCCGUUUAACCCCUUUAAGCUUCCUAGCUGCGAUGGCUCCACGACUAAGUCCUUGCACGAGGACAUCUGCCGUGACAAUUCCACGACAGUUGGCGCCCACCGUGGGGCUGGCGCACGGUGGAUUUGAGUUCUUGAAGGGCAGCUUCGAAGGGCUCAAGGGAUACGCUGUGGGCCGGAUGACCAAGAGUCGUCACGGCAAGCUCUACAUCGACGAUGCAAACUGGGGCCCCGACGCUGGCUCAAUUGAGUACGGGUACCGGGUCCCCUUCGGCGGAAUCCAUGUCUUUCUUGGCAAGAUUGGUGAGCCGGGCCCUGAGCCGGACCUCUGCGCCGAUCUCAUCGAGACGGCUCAACGUGCACAACCCGCCCGGACUUUGCCUGCCUUGAAGCGUGCUUUCGUGGGAUGCGUCCAUGGAGAGCUCUCUGAAGGAUCUGGAUCUGGUGAUGAGACGGCCGCUCGCUCUGACGGCGAGUCAUCCACAGAGGAGACCGAUUCGUUAUACCAACUUCAAGAUGGCAGGCUCAGGGGUUGUUCCGAUGGCGACAGUAUUCCGGACCCCUUUGAGCCGCCGAGCCGGGUUGGAAUCUUCAUGGCUGGCGCACAACCUGUUCAAAACCCUACCGCCGGGGCAGGAAGCCCUGUGCCCUCGCCGGCUCAGGUGCUGAUGGACCUCACGGACAAGAUGACGGUCCUGUUAACCGCUACGGUCGCCCCGGCGGAUCAAGCUCAGCAUGACGUGGAGGUGGCACAGUUAAAGCUCGAUCUAGCAAAGGCCAAGGAGGAUCUGGCGGCGGAAGGGAUCAGGAUGGCUGCAGAGAGGGCGGCUCUCGACGCCCAGACUCAGCUGAUUCAAGCGCAGUCUUUCCGGCUCACGAUGGAUCAGAACGCGUCCAGUGAGAUCAUGAGAAGGAGGCAUCAAAAGGCUCAAUCUCGACUCCCUCCGGUUUACGAUCCUCGAAACCUCUUCAACACGCCUGGUGCAGGGCCCAGUAACCCGCCAGAGAUCACGACGCCCGGAGCUGGAACGCCAAUUCAGCCCCAAGUGAUGGGACCUCCCCGGGUGAACACUACCCCGCCUCAGUACGUGCCCAUACCACCGGGUCAUUAUGCCAACCCGUUGGAAAACAUGGUCGCCGCGGCAGCACGGCUGGCGGCUCUCCCAAUCGAUGGCGACUCUCCAACGGCGGUCGAAACCCGCUGGGUCAGAGAGCUCCUUCAGACGGCUCUGGCACAACAGGAGGCAUAUUCUUAUAGCCGGGACAUAAUUCAUUCAACCCCUCGUCCAGGCCGGAGCCCGAGCUAUAGCAGGCACAUGGUCUCAGCGACCGGCUCAAGCAAUGUCCGACGCCGUGACUUGCCUCCUGGCCACGACCCGGUUCAUAAUGAAGCUUUUAACGCGGUGGACCAAGAUAGAGCACGGCAAGAGGCGGAGCGGGCGGCUCAGUUGACGGCUUACCAGCCACUCCCGGCUUAUCCGACGGCUUCCAUCGACGUGGGUAUACCUACGAGGACCGGAGGAGUUCCUUGUCUGGCGCCGGCUCUCCGUAAUGAACGUCUGCCCAAGGAUUUCAAGGGACCUAGGAAGGUACCUAAUUACACGGCUGAUUUACAACCCGGAGCAUGGAUCGAGAGUUACGAGAUGGCUAUGGAGUUGCUGGAGGUCAGCGAAGCGGCAAUGGCCAAGUACUUCACCAUGAUGUUAGAUGGGACGGCCCGCACUUGGUUGAAAGGGCUGCCACCGAACUCUAUCAGGUCUUGGGCUGAACUAAAGGCCCGGUUCAUCCAAAACUUCAAAGAUACCUGUAGGCAGUCUAUAUCAAUUGUGGAUUUGAGUAACUGUAAGCAGCAGGAGGGUGAGUCUACAACCCAUUGGGUUCGCCGGGUCAAAGAGAUAAUACAUUCAUUUGAUAAGAUGGAUGCCGGCUCUGCAGUCUUAAUGUUAGAGCAGAAUUGUCGUUUUACGCCCCUGAAGAUGAAGCUCGGGCGGCUCAAGCGCGAUUGCAAUGAUAUGGGUACGCUGAUGGCGGCUCUGGUUAAGUACGCCGACUCUGAUAGUACCAAGGAUCCCGCGUCGGAUGAUGAAAGGACAGGGAAGGGAAAACGGAAUGGCAAUGGCAAGGGCCCCCAGCAUAACCCGGCGAACCAGGGAGGUAACAAGCGUAAGGCUGAUGGUAGUAUGGAGUUUGUGGCCAACGCCAGUUCACAGGGUAACAACCACCGGCGCAAGGGGAGACCACCUCCCCGCGCCGGCGGGUCAGGCCCGACGCUUGAGCAAUUGUUGAAUGAGCCUUGUCCAAGGCAUGGCUCUAGGGAAAAGCCGGCCACUCAUCUGUGGAAGGACUGCGCAAUCAUGAAGGCCUUUAAAAAUUCCAAUGCUUUCAAUGGCAACAGUGGCCCGAGCGGCGGCUCAGGCGCUGGCGGCUUUCAUGGCCCGGGCGGCGGUUCAAAUUCCAAUUCUCAGAAUGUUCAAGGGGGCUUUAAUCAGCAGUCCGGCCAGGGUCAUCAGCAGCAGCAGCAGGGGGGAUACCAGACCAAUCCAAAGCAGCUCAAUGGUGGACAGUAUCACGUGUUUACCACCAGUCUGUGCAAGCGAGAUCAGAAGCUUCAUAAAAGGGCUGUGAAUGCUGUUGAGCCGGCGGUUCCACGCUAUUUAAGAUGGUCUGAGCAGCCUAUUGUGUGGAGUAGGGAAGAUCACCCUCCCCGGGUUGAUAAUCCGGGUCACCUGGCCUUGGUGGUGGCUCCUCAGGUGGGGGGAUAUAAAUUCACUAAAGUGCUCAUGGACGGAGGCAGCAGCAUCAACAUCCUCUAUUAUGAGACCUUCCGUCGUAUGGGGUUGAUUGAUAAGAACCUCAGCCAGUCCAAUACUGUUUUCCAUGGUGUGAUGCCUGGUAAGUCGGCAUAUCCAGUUGGUAAGAUCGAGCUGGAAGUGGCUUUUGGAGACGAGUACAACUACAGGGCGGAAAAAUUAACCUUUGAGGUGGUUAAGAUAAGAAGUCCGUAUCAUGCUUUAUUUGGGCGGCCGGCUUACGCCAAGUUCAUGCCACGGCCAUGUUCCUCGUAUUUGCAGCUCAAGAUGCCGGGUCACAAUGGGACCAUUACGGUUCAUGGCAGCCGAAAGAUAGCCUUGGAGUGUGAGGAAGGUGACGCGGCUUACGCUGAAUCUGUUUGUGCGACAGAGGAGUUGAAGUUUUACAAGGACAAUUUUGACCCGGCAGAUAUGACGUCUUUGAAAAAGCCGACCACGGAGCAUGAGCCGGCAAUGAAAUUUAAGUCAGCUGAUGAGACUAAACUUGUUGACUUUGUUCCAGGUGACUCAUCUCAGCAGUUCAACAUCAGUGCCAAUCUGGAUCCGAAAUAGGAAGGCGCGCUCAUCGAGUUCAUCCGUGGGAACAGGGACAUUUUUGCAUGGAAACCUUCUGACAUGCCAGGUGUACCUAGAGAACUCGCUGAGCACACUCUCAAUAUGGAUCCGAAAUUUAAGCCGGUCAGGCAAUUCCUUUGGCGGUUUAAUGAGGAGAGGCGGAAAGCCAUUGGUGAGGAGGUGGCCCGGCUCUUGGCGGUUGGGUUUAUUGUUGAAGUUUUUCAUCCAGAAUGGUUAGCUAACCCGGUGCUCGUGCUCAAGAAGAACGGCACCUGGCGGAUGUGUGUGGACUACAUGGAUCUAAACAAAGCUUGUCCGGCUGAUCCUUUUGCUCUCCCCCGUAUUGAUCAAAUUAUUGAUGCUACGGCGGGUUGUGAGCGCUUAAGUUUUUUGGAUGCUUAUUCUGGGUACCAUCAGAUUAAAAUGGCAGUUAAGGACCAGGAGAAGACGGCGUUCAUCACUCCCUUUGGAGCCUUUUGUUAUGUGUCUAUGCCUUUUGGGCUCAAGAGUGCACAGGCGACUUACCAGCGUUGUGUGCAGAAUUGUCUUCACAACCAGAUUGGGCGCAAUGUUCAUGCCUAUGUGGAUGAUAUCGUGGUAAAAUCCAGGGAGAAGGAGACCCUGGUAGAUGAUCUUAGAGAAACCUUUGAUAAUCUCCGGGUUUACAAGAUGAUGCUUAACUCGGCCAAGUGUGUUUUUGGUGUUCCCGCAUGCAAACUCUUGGGUUUUCUGGUUUCUCACAGAGGCAUUGAAGCUAACCCGGAAAAGAUCAAGGCAAUCACCUCUCUGGCUAAGCCGGCGUGCAUAAACGACAUCCAGCAUCUGGCGGGCCGCAUCGCUGCUUUGAGCCGGUUUAUAAGCCGUUUGGGUGAAAAGGCCAUGCCACUGUACCAGUUGAUGAAGAAAACAGAUGACUUUAUCUGAAAUGAUGCUGCUAAUGUUGCUUUUGAGGAUUUGAAGAGACGGCUGGCUGAGCUCCCAGUACUUGCUGCUCCUGUUGACAAGGAGCCCUUAUUGCUGUAUGUAGCCGCUAACACACGGGCCGUUAGUGUGGCUGUGGUGGUGGAGCGUAAGGAAGAGGGUAAGGAGUAUCCGGUUCAGCGACCGGUUUACUACGUCAGCGAAGUACUCAUUGAGUCCAAACAACGGUAUCCACACUGGCAGAAGCUUGUUUAUGGGGUAUUCAUGGCAAGCCGGAAGCUUAAGCAUUAUUUCCAGGGUCACCCUAUCACUGUGGUUAGUUCUGCUCCCCUAGGAGAUAUCAUCCAAAACAGAGAAGCCACGGGAAGAGUGGCUAAGUGGGCUAUAGAACUUCGGCCUCAUGGUCUGAAAUACAUGCCACGCACUGCUAUCAAAUCUCAAGCAUUGGUGGACUUCAUCAACGAUUGGACAGAGCUGCAGGUGCCUGAAGAGAAACCGGAUAAUACAUACUGGACUAUUCACUUCGACGGGUCUAGGCAAUUGGAGGGCUCGGGGGCUGGAGUUGUAUUAACUUCCCCUCGAGGUGACAAGUUUUGCUAUGUGCUACGGUUGAUGUUUCCCUGUACUAACAAUGCGGCUGAGUACGAGGCCUUGCUCCAUGGUCUUCGGAUGGCUAAGGAGAUGAGCUUGAGCCGGGUAAGGUGCUUUGGCGACUCAGAUUUAGUGGCUCAACAAGUGUCAGGCAAGUGGGAUUCCAAGGACCCUCUCAUGGCGGCUUAUCGCCGCGAAGUUGAUGCCAUUGCUGGACACUUUCAGGGUUACCAAGUAGAGCACAUCGAUCGCAGGAAGAAUGAGGCGGCUGAUGCAUUAAGCCGGCUGGGCUCUCAGCGAAAGCCGGUGCCGCCUAAUACUUUCUUGGACAUUUUGCAUAACCCUUCUGUUAAGUUGCCUACAGAGGAAGACUUGGCUGUCCCUGACCCGGAGGCACAGCUGGUGGCGGCUCUCCACAUUACCCCAGACUGGACAGUACCAUACUUGGCUUACAUGACCCGGGGAGAAUUGCCUGAGGAUGAAACUUUGGCCAGACAAAUAACCCGGCGGUCUAAGUCAAUGAUAAUUAUCAAUGGUGAGCUGCAUCGUUGCAGUGUCACUGGAACUUUCCAGCGUUGUGUUUCCCCUGAGGAAGGUCAAGAAAUCUUACGUGAAAUUCACGAGGGGGAUUGUGGCCAUCAUGCCGGCUCAAAGUCCCUUGUGGCCAAGGCCUUUCGUCAUGGUUUUUAUUGGCUGACGGCUUAUGCUGAUGCCGAGGAUUUGGUCAGUAAAUGUGACGGUUGCCAGAGGUUCUCGCGACGGGCUCAUGUGCCGGCUCAGGAAUUGAGGAUGAUUCCAAUCACUUGGCCGUUUGCGGUCUGGGGGCUUGAUAUGGUUGGGCCUUUUAAAAGAUCCAAGGAUAAGAAGACCCACCUCUUGGUGGCAGUCGACAAGUUCACAAAGUGGGUUGAAGCAGAGCCAGUUAGCAAGUGUGAUGCAGCCACAGCGGUUCAGUUCAUGAAGAGGGUGAUAUUUCGCUUUGGUUUUCCACAUAGCAUUAUAACUGACAACGGUACCAAUCUGUCUAAAGGCGCCAUGGAGGAGUUUUGUCAACGAGAGCAUAUUCGGCUUGAUGUUUCAUCAGUGGCUCACCCUCAAUCCAAUGGUCAAGCUGAGAGAGCCAAUCAGGAAAUCUUGAAAGGCAUCAAGCCUUGGCUUUUGGUCCCUUUGCAACGGACGCCGGGUUGUUGGGUGGAGGAGUUACCCUCCGUGUUAUGGAGCAUCAAUACUACUCCUAACAGGUCUACGGGUUACACGCCUUUCUUCAUGGUUUAUGGAGCGGAGGCGGUCCUCCCUAGCGACAUCCGUCAUGACUCGCCUCGAGUGGCGGCUUAUGUUGAGGCGGAUAAUGAGCGGGCGCGCCAAGAUGCUCUUGACUUGUUGGAUGAACAGCGUGAUGUGGCAGCGGCUCGCUCGGCGAUUUACCAACAAGACCUGCGCCGCUAUCACAGCCGCCAGGUUAAGUCCAGAGUCUUCCAGGAAGGUGAUCUGGUGCUCCGGCUCAUCCAAGAUCAAACAGAUGCACACAAGUUAUCCCCGCCUUGGGAAGGGCCCUUUGUGGUUAGCAAGAACUUGCACAACGGGUCAUACUACCUUAUCGAUGUUCGGGAGCACAAAAAUUCACGUAAGUCGGAGGAAGAGACCCGUCGGCCGUGGAACAUAGCUCAGCUUCGGCCUUAUUACACUUGAGCCACCGGCUCUCAUAAUGUACAUAUUUCUACAACCAUGUAUAUAUUAUGAUAAAUAAUAAAGCAUGACCUCUGUCCUUUUCUCCUCCAAAGGCAAAUGUGUUAUUGUUAUUACAACAUUACAUGGUCACUUGGAGGUUGAUCCGGCUUACGAUCGUAUUCGAAUCUCGCCGUUAACAAUGAUCACUUGGGGGCUUCCUGUUCAAACAUAGGUCGUAUUCGAACCAAAGAGAACAUAGUUGUCGAUACCCACUUGAUUGGCAAAUUGCCGAGCUCAUGGGGGAGUUUUUCUUGAUCAUAUUUGAAUCAUAGCUCAACCCCCUUUGGGAACCGACGUGGAUCGUAUUCGAAUCAGCGUCGUUAAACAACUCUCAAGGUCAUUUGGGGGCUUCCUGUUCAAACAUAGGUCGUAUUCGAACCAAAGAGAACAUAGCUGUCGGUACCCUCUUGAUCGGCAACGCCAAAGCCACUGGGGGCUAUAUGAUCGCAUUCGAAUCUUAGCUUAACCCCUUUGGGAUGGUUCUCUGGUCGUAUUCGAAUCAGAAGCCCCUAAGUUUUGAUCUUUUGGUUUGCAACAAGUUGUUUUGAUCAUAUCAACAGUGUGCAAGGGCGGUUCUUACUCCGCCGGUUUAACUUUGAUUAACAAUGUUGAUAGCACACAAUAAGCAUUAUCGAUGCUGGUGAACCGGAGUUGAGUUCUCAACCUCAUUAUUUGGGUUACAUAAACCGGAAGUAUACUUGAAGGCCUGUAAGUAUGCUAUUAUGGUUACCUCGAGGAUAUAAUUGAGGGCCGGUCUUUGGUGACUUUGGUUCAUAUUCCGGGUUAUAGGUAAGGUAUAUGACUCUCAGUGCGGUAAGCGCCCAGAGACUUGUGAUUUGUUUUCUAUGCAGGACAAUUAAAGACAGCUUUUUAGCUUAAGGAAAGUAGAUGAUCGAACAUAACCCGGAGGAAUAUAAAGGAACAGCUUCAACGGAGUUAAGCAUUCCACACGUGCACGAUGGCACGACAAAUUAAGUGUUUGUCCUACUCUAUUACAAGACUCCCCGAGUCCAAAAGGUGAGGCAUUGUUUUUAAAGUGUAACCAUGAGCCGCCCAAGAAAUCAAGGUGCUUGUUGAGUUGAAGCUCCCGGCUCAUCCCUCUCCGCUCCUUCGGCUGUUUCCAUGACCUGGAAGGUUGAUGAUUUCCAGUCAAUGCCGCUCAAAGCUUCAAAUUGAGCCUCAUCAUCAAUUAACCCGGCCGGGUCAACUUCUGGAGCGAAGGUGUGCUUACGAGUCAGAGGGAUCAGGCUGAUUGCUUCAUAGCGUGGAGUGGGGAUCCUUUGAUUCUCCGCGUCAUAGCUCGGCUGAUACUUGGUAAGAUCUGUGUCAUUCCCAAUCAAGGUAGCCACCGGGCGCACGCUCUUCACACAGGCGGCGAAGUCUUUCUGGUCAAAGGGGGUACCAUCUUCCUUCAGGCUGGGGUAUCCAAGAGCGAUGUCGGCCGGGUCUAGCUCCGGGAGAAACGCCUUGGCCCGGCUCAGAGCAGCUAUAGCUCCGGCUCUUGCAGAAGCCCGUCUCAGCUCUUGGAAGCGCUGAGGAAGAACGGCAAGCCGCCUGAGUACGUCUACCAGGUGGGUGGGAACCUCAUUGGACAGAGCCACAAUGGCUAAAGCACGUUGUGACCCGGUGUAGAGUUGCUCCACCAAAGUGUAAACCGCCUUCAGCUUGGUCAGCAUGUUCUGAUUAAGGUUGGAGCUUCUGGGACCUGCAUAAUAACGUCAGGUGAGCCGGUGGCAAUGGUGGGACUUAUGAGACAUGAAGAAUGUAAAUUUGUUAAAAGCCUACAGAAUAACUUACCGAAGAUUGCGGAGACCAUCUGUGACACAUGGUGUUUUAAGCCGGAGAGUUCAGGCGGUUCUUUCAGUAAGAGCAGCCUCCGCUUGUUCGGCCCGUCUGAGCAAGGCAGUCUUCUCGUCGACCCAAGUUUUUCUUUCUAUUUCAAAUUUUUUCUUCAGUUUUUCUUGUGCAGCAACACUGAACUCAAACUUGGCAUUGGCCUUCCGGGUCUCAGUUUCCUGAGUCUUCAGGCGGUUCUUCAGCUCAGAGAUUUCCGAUUCAAAUUUCUUGCAGGCAGCCUGUACAAAUUCCGGGUUACAGUUUGAGUGGUUAUCAUGCAACAUUAAAGUCCCAAGCACUUUGCAAGCAAAGACACUUGGCACUUGGGGGCUAAUGUAUGCUGAACGAUUCUAUUUAUAAGUGCCGGUUCAUGAAGGUAAGCCGGAAGUUAAGUCUACAACAUAUUCUAUCAUAAGUAAUAGACUUGGGGGCUAGCAUGGUAAGAAUGACUAUGGAGUAAGCAAGAGAGUUGUACCUCAGAUUUUUGCUGUAUCUGCUUCACCAUGUCAAUCUCCAGGUCCCGGCUGUUGUGCACUUGACCAAUAUAACCAGAAACAAUGUCUCCAAUGCUCAAGUUAGCAUAGUCAGUGAUAUCCAGUCUGGCCUUGCGGCGCUCCAGCAGUUCUUCUUUAGCAGAGCAUCUGGCCAGCACAGUGGGUCUUCCCGGCUCAACAUAUUCGGUCCGGGUAAUCACCACAUCCGGGUCAUCGGCCGGUUGAGCUGAGCUGGGGAUCUCCGGGUUGUCAGAACUCUCCAUGGCUUGUUGUUCAGUUGGAGCGGUGGUUUCUGGAGCUGGUGCAGACGGCGGCUCAGAAGCAGAGGCGUUGGGUUCAGUCAAGACCGGUUCUUCGACCGGGUGAUUUUUCUUUGCCCUCUUGCUGAGCUUUGCUUGUGCACUGAAAGUCAAAAGGUUAGUGCAAAAACAUGAGUAAGAUAAGCACAAAAUAAGAUGAUCAUCAUUACCCGGGUGCAGUCUUGAAAGCCGGCAAGUUAGAUUGCAUGGAGUCAUCGGAGGAAGGUGAAGUUUCCUGAUAGUUUGAAUCAGAAGAAUUGAGUGGUUGGCGAGUGAUGCCCGCCAAAGGAUGAAAAGGAUAUAAGUUGGAGAUAACCUCGGUCCGGCGCUUCCUUGAUGCUUCGGGUAAGCCGGAGGAGAGGUCUGCAUCCUUGCUGGCCCGGGUUUGCCUCCGGCUCUCAUGAAUCUGUUGCUUCAAAAGAAAUUGAGGAUCUUGAUAAGCUAAAGGAUGGGAAAAUCUUACUUUCCGGGUUACUCUUCGGACUUUCAGCCUUGGCAAGGGGUCCGAGUCGGAGGAAAGUAUAGUUACCUCUUCAAUCACUGGGUUACUCGCUCCGGUAUCAUCCUGUUGAUAAUCAGUGUCAAUAAGGUGGUUAAAAAUAGACAAAAGAACCAAAGAAGAGCCUAAAGAAUCAAGGGUUACCUCUGACUCGGAGGUGUCAUCCAGCUGAAGCAGGUCUGAGGCGCUAGGCUUACUCCCCUUCUUGCGGGGAGCGGCUCUCCUGGCGGCUUUCUUAACCUUCCUGGCUUUUUUAGCAGCCUCAUGAUCAUAUUUGACCUUCCAGAACUUAUCAUUAGCCUGAAAAAUACAACAAAGGUUUCUAGAGGUUAAGAUGAAAAUUGUUAAAAUGGAAAGUAAGGUGCUCAGAUCAGUAGCUUACCGCCGGAGCCGGGUUAGCUUUGCAGAAGGGACUUAAGCCUGUCCUCCCGCAGUCUGCUAAGCUCUCGUUCAGAAGGGACUUAGUCAUGUCGUCAACGACGUCCUCAGGUAGGUCGUUGGGGCUGUGCCGCAGAGGAUCAUCCUUCCGGCCCGUGUAAUCACACAUUAAGCCGGGGCGGCGGCUCAAGGGAAUCACCCGCCAAGCAAUCCAGACCCGGACCAGAUCAACGCCGUUAAGGCCGUUUCCCAGAAGAGCUUUGAUCUUGUUGAUGGUGGGGAUAAGCGGUUGGCGCUCAGCUUGAGAUAACUUGUCUGGCAGGGGGUGAUUUGACUCCAGAUGCAGGGCGCGAAAGCCGGGCAGAGGGUUCUCAUCAGCCGGAGAAGUAUCCUGGCAGUAGAACCAUGUCUGGUUCCAGUCCUUUGGGUGGCUUGGCGGUUCAGCAUAAGGAAAAAGGCAAUCUCUCCGUCGUUGGAUUGAAAUUCCGCCAAGUUCCAAGCUAGGCCCGUUGGCACACUCGUUCUGGCGGUUCAGAUAAAACAGUUCCCUAAAGAGCAGUAGGCUGGGCUCUUCUCCAAGGUACACCUCGCAGAAUACUUGGAAGUUACAAAUAUUCGACACGGAAUUGGGUCCAAUGUCUUGAGGUCGCAGAUCGAAAAAGUUCAGAACAUCUCUGAAGAAUUUUGAGCAAGGAGGAGCAAAGCCCCGGCUCAUGUGAUCAGCAAAUAUAACAACCUCUCCGUCUCUUGGUUGAGGUCUUUCUUCGGACGGGUCAGGGGCACGAUAGGACAUGACCUCCUUCUUAGGCAGGUAACCCGUCUUCACGAAAUCAUCUAAGGUAUCAUCAGUAACGUUGGAUCUCAACCAGUUGCACGUAAUGGGUGCCUUGGGAGCCUUGGGCGGCAUUGUGAAAGACGAAAAGCCUAUGACAAAAGAAAAUGUCCGGUUCAAAUAUAAGCCGGAGGAAGAUUCCAGUUCAGUAUUUAAGAUGGCGGCUUAUGAAGGGGCCUAAUGAUAUAUGGCUAAUUGUGUUGGGUUAUCUAAGCUGCUGUGGAUAUCAUAAGUAAUUCAAGUUGUUUAAAACUCUAUCACGAAUGAGCCGGAAAUGUCACAGCGCAUGGCCUCUUUUAAGCCGGAGAUAUGAGCCGCCAUGGUUAACAGAUGCAGGUUUUUGUCUAAGUGUUGUACAAACAGGUUUCACAGGUUGCAGGGAUUAUUUUGGAUCAAACGAUCGUCCAGAAAGAAAAAAUUUCUAGACCUAGAAAGCUGAUACAGAGAAGUUCAUGAGCUCAGAACGAGGUCUUUCUGCGGACAAAAGGGAUCUACUAGCAUAAAAAUGAGUGCGAAACCACUACCGCAGGAGUUCUAUCCUACUUUCCGGAUCAAAAGAGGUCGCGGUGGAAGAACUGUGAAGAACUCGGGAUGAACUGCGAAGAACAUGGGAAGAACGACAGAACCCUAAUGCGAAUCUACUGUAGGGAGUGGCAAGAACUUACUGGCGCUGAUGAGAUGCGGAGGUCGCCGCCGUUUCUCUGGACCAGCUCAGGGUGAUGCAGCGGCCGAGGUUGAGGAGGACAAGGGGCGCGGCGGCGGCGGCGGAGCUCGAGCUCGGGAGUGUCAGAAGAGGAAGACGAUGGAGGAGAAGGGUGACGAAGGCUUAUGGGCCGGGCCUAUUUAUAAGGCACGAUUGAUAAAUGGGCGCGAGAAACGAGGAGGCCAAGACGCGAUUAUCUCGGCACAGAAAUGCCUCGAUUUUUGGGAUGGUUAUUAAAGAUAAGAUCCGUUGGGUAUGAUGGAAUAGAAAAAUGAAUUUAAUGGAAGAUGACGUCACGGCGGGUUACCAAGAAUCCAGAAGAUGACGUCACAGCGGGUUAUAAUCUUUGCACAAGCAGAAGCCGGAAGAUUUUCUUUCAAAGGGAUUGAAGAUUGACAUGAACCGGUUCAAAUCAAUCUAGGGCCUAAUGUUGAGGAUAUAACCAUUAGAGUCACCCGCCCAGGAGGGGCCGGGUUACGUUAUAAUGAUCUUCACGUGAAGCCCAGUACCAGGCUAGAGGAUGGCGGAUCAAUAGUGGGCUUAAGACCCGGAGGCGGCUUAAGGCCCGUAGUGAUAAACCGCCGUUAUGGCAAGACUUGUAAUGUAAGGCAAGAGUAGUUAAGAGUCCGAGCCGGAUACUGUUAUAAGCCGGCCGAGACUCUGAGAGCCGCGGGGGCGUCAACCUCUCUAUAUAAAGGGACGACCCGGCGGCGGUUCAGGACGAGAGACAACAUAUCGAGAGCCGGGCAUAGCGAUUAAGCUCCCUGGUCAUCGAAACCCUAAGUAAUACCAACUCAACUGGACGUAGGCUGUUACCUUCACCGUAAGGGGCCGAACCAGUAUAACCCUCGUGUUCCUUGUCCCGUUUAACCCCUUUAAGCUUCCUAGCUGCGAUGGCUCCACGACUAAGUCCUUGCACGAGGACAUCUGCCGUGACAAUUCCACGACAAGUGAGGAAGAAGUCACUCUCCUCCCCAUUGAUUUUUACCCCGACCGACCCUCCUAAUGUCACACUUCUAAUCCAAGUUAACCACCUAGUACCAAAACCUCUAAGAGCCAAUAGCUCGAGUAGGAAAUCCAGGUUAACCCUAUCGUAGGCCUUCUCAUAGUCUAUUUUGAACACCAAACCUUGUCUCCGUGAAGAAUGUACUGCAUGCACAAUCUUAUGUGCAGUCACCACACUCUCCAGUAUGUAUCUACCUCUCACAAAGGCAGACUGGCACUUUGUAAUCAGUCUACCAAUAAUGGAAGCUAAUCUGUUAGUCAAUACCUUUGUAAAAAAUUUAAACACACAGUUAAGUAGACUAAUUGGUCUGAAUUUGUUCAUAUCCUAGCUUCGUUCUCUUUUGGGAUUAAGGUAAUCAUAGCAAAAUUCAGUCUGACAAAUCCAGGUUCCCAUCAAACCAAAACUCAAACAUCCUAAUCAGGUCAACUUUCACUACUUCCCAAAACACCUGGAAAAACAUAAAAGGAAGGCCAUCUGGGCCAGGUGCCCCAUCCGCAUAGGACCCAAAAACAGCCUCUCUAAUCUCUUCCUCUGAGAACUGUUUUUCUAGUUUAGCAUUUUCCUCAGGGGAGAUCUUCUCCUCAUUACUGAAAAAAAUCUUGCCUCAGCCUAAUGUUAGGUCUAGGUUCCCAUCUAAAAAGAUUCUUAUAGUAAUCUACAGCUAUCCCUUUCAUCCCAUUCUGGUCAGUUACAAGGCCUUCAGCCCCAUCCAGCACAUGAAUAACAUGCUUUCUCCUCUGAUUAGCAACUGCUUGGAAAUAAGCAGUAUUUCUAUCCCCCUCAACAAUAUCUUUUCUCUCUGGAUCUCUGUCUAGCUUUGAUCUCCUCCACCUGCCACAUCUGGCUCAACUCAUGAAGAAUAUUACCCAGCCUCUCAUUAUCCUCAUCAGUCAGACCCCCAGACUCAGAUUUAAUAUCUAAGUCAUCAUAUUCCUCCAUCAACUCCUUCUUGUCUCUCCUAAGAGCAGCUUCUACAUUCCUGCUCCAACCUUUAGCCAAUCUCCUAAAGGCCCUAACUUUGGUUUGCCAGCAAUCAAUUGGGUUAGCGGAGUCACAUCUAGUGCCCCAAGCCUUAAUCACUAGGUCUUUAAAAUCAGGCCUAGUAAUCCACCACUUUUCAAAUUUAAAACUACCUUUUCUAUGAUGCUCAUCUACCCCUCAGUCCCAAACCACAGGGGUAUGGUCACUGCUCACCCUAGGCAACACUCUAGAACUAGCCAUAGGGAAGGCAGCAUCAAACUCUGUAGUGCAAAAAAUCCUAUCAACUUUAGACAUAAUCCUAUUCUCCUGGUUGUUGCACCAGGUAUAAUUUCUCCCAGACAUGUUGAUCUCCAACAAAUACCACAUAUCAACCCAGCUAUUAAACCUAUCUGACCAUCUAAAGUCUGUGUUACCAUUGUUCUUAUCCUCUGGAGUCCUAACUAAAUUAAAAUCUCCCCCUACAAUAGCAGGGCCUUCCCAAUUCAGAAAUAAGGAAUGAAGUUCAGAAAUAAAAUCCUGCUUAUCCUCAUCAUAAGCAGAGCCGUAAACAGUAGUAACUCUAGACACAAGUUCAUCACUUCUGUUUUUAACCACAACACUAACAGAAAACUUUUUAAUCUCCCAGGCAAGCACCUCAAACUGAUCAAUAUCAACUCCUACUAAAAUGCCACCCGCAGAGCCCACAGAUGGCAGUAAAUUCCAAUCAAAAUUCCUAUUACCCAUAACAGUAUUAAGAAAAUUCCUAGAGAAACUACUUUGUUUAGUCUCUUGAAACCCCACAAUAGCAGGAUUAAGAGGCCAAAUCAAAUCCUCAAUACAUUUCUUCCUACCAGGGGCCAACAGCCCCCUAGCAUUCCAGAAGAUGUAUUUCAUUCUACCCUAAUACUGGGGUGCUUGCCCCAUCUAUUCAAACUGCUAGGCAACCCAGCACUAUCAGAAACCUUCUCUACCUCACUUCCAACAGAAGCACAUCCUUUAUCUACCAGCUUUUCAUUAAUGACCACUCCAAUAGAAUUAGACAUGCCAUCUAGCUCAUCUGCUGGAAUUGUAUUAAAUGGGGGCUUGGAAGAUAUACCUUUCAUACUUUUUGGUAGCUCCAGAUUUUGCUUCAUCUUGAGCAACACCGCCCUGUCCACCAUUGGUUGUGAGAUAUCCACUCUUGAACUCUUCCUGGAAGCUUGGACAGGCCCAUAUGUCUUCUGCUUUUUGCCUCUCUUCCCUGUGUCUUUCCCAUCCACUUGACCUUUAUCAGUUACUCCGAAAUUGCUAAAAUCAGGCAUAAUAUCAUCAGGAAGAUUGUCAAUAACCUCAGCCCCUGUCUUCUCAGGAGCAUCAACCAGCACCUCUCAUGUAUCCUCAGCCGCAAACUCCUCCAUCUCCCCAUCUAGGUCCCUAAGCAACUGCAUUUCACAAAGACAAAAGUAGUAGUAUCUUUCCCCUGCCCAGCACCUGUCACUAUGUCAUUUCCAUCCAGGCCAAGAUCACAAUUCUGCAUCUCCUGUUGUUCUACAAAUUCAACCACAGACACAUCCCUCUUUCUAUGCUGACCACUACCCCCAGUAGCUGUCUUAGGAUCUUCCUGACUACCUUUCACAUUUCCUUUACUCUGAUUAGCUCCAUUACUCAGAUCCCCACCCCCAUCGGUCUGCAUGUUCUCCUCCCCAUUGCUGCUUUUGCUCCUAUCCUCAUCAAAAUCAAACUUCUCUUUCUCCUUCUCCCCCUCAUCCUUGGAAACCACUUCUACAACAAUUUGGACCUUAAAGAUUUUUCCAUCCACUUCAAACAGCCUUUCAGUGGGGAUUUUAGCUGGGUUCCUACACUGAAUUUUUGCUCUAACACACUCAAACAGACUCUGCAGCAUCCCCUGCCAGUCCAUCUCUAUUAGCGGACCAAAGGAAGAAACACACUGAUCAAUGACAGCCCACUCACACCAUUUAGGCAUCAGUCCUCUCACCUGCACCCAAACUUCUUCCAGUUUAUCAAUCUCCACUAGAUCCUCUUUCCAGGCCUCAACUUUCACUGUUGCAUCUGACUCUGUCAUCCCAAAGCAGGGGUAUCCAGCCACCUGAUCUACAGAGAUGUGAGGAGGAAACUUCACUAAAAAGGACCACUCAUCUAGGACUCUUAUCUGCCACGGCCAAUUUGUCUUGUAAAUGACAGAAAACUCUUUUGCCAGUUCGUCCUUGGUGAUUUAUCCUGAUUCCACAUACACCACACCACAAUUCUUCAAGAUCCCAAUCGAGUUUUGCCCCAUAUCUGAGGUCUCCAAAUGGUAAAACCCCAGCCCAGGGUCAGCACUACCCACAUACUUAGCCAUCUGGUGAGGUCGUUUCCUAACAGGGCAAUUCUCCACUUGGUGCGCACUUGCUUUGCAAAUGAAGCAUUUUUUUGGUCUCUCACACACAGCCCGCAGAUGCCCUGUAUCACCACAACUGUAACAAGUAACUUGCUGAUAAUUGGUGAAUUCCACACUCUGACCCCCUGUAAUCACCUCUUUUUCCACCAUAUCUACGCCAGUUGACUGCCCUACUGCCUUCUUGUUCUUCUCCUUUGCCUGAACUCCUCCUGCAGAUUUGUUUUGGCCCAAUCUCCCCUUCUGAUUCACACUCUGCUGCUGAUCCUGCGAAUUUCCCCCCUGUUGAGGUCCUCCCUGCUCCCACUGGUUCUGUUGGAACACAGGGAAAGGCGGGUAACCUCCCCCAAACAUCCAUGGAGGCGGCACCCUAGGGUAUCCGAAGAACGGCGGCGGGAAACUGAACUGAGGCCCUCACAUCUCCUGUGGGGGGUGCUGCGGCUGCAUUGGUGGUGGCCUGCCAGCACCACGCCCCCUCUCGCGACCUCUGUUGCUCUCCGCCAUCUCAGACAGCUUAGCUACAGCAAGGAAAUUCACCCUCUCAGCACCUAGCCACUCAGAUCUGCCACAACUUAACGAACUAGGAUUCCUGCCGAUCAAAUCUCUCUCCGCUGCUGGGUGGCAAUCUUCAAUCCCAAAAUCUCUCCUCUCCAGCAGCUCCUUCCUGAUCCAGAUCGCGAUCCCCUUUCCCUUAGGGUUAGCCGGUCGGUCUGGACGACGAUGCAGCUUUAAAGGCGAAGCUUCCUCACCUCCUUCCCAUAGCUGCCCGAAAAAACCACUAUCCACCUCACAAUCCCCACUGACAGCGGGUCCCAUCCGCCAGGUCCACCGGCCCCUCCUGACUUGGUCAACUAUCUGCUUCUCCCUCCUCAGAUUCAAAUUCGCACGGUUCUGAAGCCCAAAAUUCAGCAAUGGCGGAUAUCCAAUUCCCGGCGACCGGCUAUCAGGAUCCUCCAAAUCAGGCUCCACAAACCUGCAAACGCUCCGCUCCUCCCACCUCGGAAUUGCUCUGGUUUGGCUCUGAGAUCUCACAUUUAGCAAAGGCGGAACUCUAGAUUCUGGCAGCUGAGACACAGCAGCCCCCACUCUCGAGUCCACAAACCUCGCUGUCAUCUGAGGCUUCAAUCCCUCGCCGGCUUCGGGGAGAGGUACGGAAGAGGGUCUACCUGCGAAGGAGGCGGCGGAGUGCGAGUUGGGAAGAGCCCCAGAACACAUUCCCACCUCUCCUCGCGAUCUCUGACCCCCGAUUUGGCUUCCCCCCCUCGCCCAGUGGACGAAACCCACCGGCGGAGAGAGCGGGAACGGCGGCAUCCUCUCCCGCUCCUCCUCCGUCGCCUCGAAGUGGAUCCUCCGAGCGAGGUUCUUCAACUCCCAGUCCACCCGGGUCCUGCAGACCGAGACGUAGCGCGCCUCCCAGAACACCAGAUCUGGGUCAGCCUCCUCCGCGGCCCGCUCCCUCGCCUCCCUCCAUUCCCGCUCGCACAGCGACCACGACAGGGAGUCGUCGCGGAUCCGCGUCGCCCGCUCCCUCCACCGCUGCGCCCUGGUCGCCGUCAGCAUCUCCGGCGACGCCGACGAGAACNNNNNNNNNNNNNNNNNNNNNNNNNNNNNNNNNNNNNNNNNNNNNNNNNNNNNNNNNNNNNNNNNNNNNNNNNNNNNNNNNNNNNNNNNNNNNNNNNNNNNNNNNNNNNNNNNNNNNNNNNNNNNNNNNNNNNNNNNNNNNNNNNNNNNNNNNNNNNNNNNNNNNNNNNNNNNNNNNNNNNNNNNNNNNNNNNNNNNNNNNNNNNNNNNNNNNNNNNNNNNNNNNNNNNNNNNNNNNNNNNNNNNNNNNNNNNNNNNNNNNNNNNNNNNNNNNNNNNNNNNNNNNNNNNNNNNNNNNNNNNNNNNNNNNNNNNNNNNNNNNNNNNNNNNNNNNNNNNNNNNNNNNNNNNNNNNNNNNNNNNNNNNNNNNNGCGUGGGUGGGGUUGGUGGGCAUGGCGGCAAGGGCAGCGGCGUAGGUCGGGGGUCGGGUCGCGAGAGCUGUCAUGGGAAACAGUUUGUCAAGCAUGAACUCAACGAGUGGGUGGGUAUCGUCGGCACAGGGAUCACUCGUUGGGAUCAAACCCAGAACUUGUUGUCAACCAGUAUUUCAACUUGUUGCCAUAGUAAACAGUGCAAUCCACGGACUCAGGCAUGCCACCUGCCAUACAACUCCAUAUUUGACAUUAAACACAUUGAACAAAUAGUCACUCCUAACAAUGGUAACCAACAGGGGUGCUCCCCUCUGGACACAGGCGAGGAAAGAAGACCUCACAGCACGUAUUCUGCCAAUGCCUCCCAGCCUCCACGACACUCCCCGCGCUUGACCAGCAAAGGCCUCCCUCCCCGCACUUGACCCAAUCUAAAUCGGUAACAGCCGGCCAAAUCGAUACCCUGGGAGCUUAGUGAAUUUAGAGAUUCAUCUGCUGUUGAGUAUACAACAAUUACCUCGUGAUAUGGAUGAACAAGACAAUCACAUCCCUGGAUCUGUAGAAAGGGCUUCAUCUAGGCAAUGAUCAAGUUCAGACUCCAUUUGUUUGCAAGAGCAGCGCGAGAUAAAAACGCCAAAAUUGUACCAAAAUACUCACUGGUACUCUUCCAGCCGUCCAUCUCACACGCACAGACACAUUGCUCACAUCGAUAAUAACAAGACUGACAACGGAAUCCUGUGUAAACUCGCCAAUCAAUCAAUAAAAUAGAGUCAAUUAAAACACAAGGAAAAUGACAAGUAGCCAAGAGCUAUAGGAACCUGAUGGUGACCACAACAUAGUAGUACAAGUUCCCACAUAAGAGGUUCCGAGCAACUAUCAAAGAAAUGCCUUUAUUAUUAUUCCACGGUUUGUCAACUUCGGAAGCUACAAGAGCAGCAGGUGUAAUGUGUCAAACAAAACAAGGCCCCGGAGCAGGGAGCGAGUUCGGGGCUUCACGCCCAUAUGCAAUCUAGAAUCAUAAGAAAUUGACCGACAACUGAGAAAUAUAGCUGCUCCAGGGCAUACUCCUUCCUACAUGAUGUAAACACUCUAGGCUGCAAAACUUAAGACAGGGACAAUCAUUUUGCCUUUAUUAUUCUCUUCGUACGCAGUUAUCGUUCUCCUUUACC
rnacentral:lncRNA from 1 species